rnacentral:lncRNA from 1 species
AGCCCAGCAUGGACCGAUUAUGGGGGGGGGGGGGGAUGCUGAGAUUUGGGGCCGAUUGGGCUGAAUUUGGGGUCGGGUGCUGAGGUUUGGGGUCAGUCUGUGAGAGUUUGGGGUCAGAUGCUGAGAUUUGGGGUCAGAUGCUGAGAUUUGGGGCCGAUUGGGCUGAAUUUGGGGUCAGGUGCUGAGAUUUGGGGUCGGUUUGUGAGAGUUUGGGGUCAGGGCUGGAGAUUUGGGGUCAUUUCAUGAGAAUUUGGGGUCAGAUGCUGAGAUUUGGGGCCGAUUGGGCUGAAUUUGGGGUCGGGUGCUGAGAUUUGGGGUCAGUUUGUGAGAGUUUGGGGUCAGGUGCUGAGAUUUGGGGCCAAUUCAGCUGAAUUUGGGAUUGGGUGCUGAGAUUUGGGGUCAUUUCAUGAGGAUUUGGGGUCAGUCGCUGAGAUUUGGGGUCAGGUGCUGAGAUUUGGGGUGAAUUCAGUGGGAUUUGGGGUCAUUUCCUGAGGUUUUGGGGUCAGGAGCUGAGAUUUGGGGCCGAUUGGGCUGAAUUUGGGGUCAGGAGCUGAGAUUUGGGGUCAGGUGCUGAGAUUUGGGGUCAGGUGCUGAGAUUUGGGGCCAAUUCAGCUGAAUUUGGGGUCAUUUCCUGAGAUUUGGGGUCGUUUUGUGGGAGUUUGGGGUGGAUUCUUUGGGAUUUGGGGUCAGGUCCUGCGAUUUUGGGGUCGAUCCCGGGGAUUUUGGGGUCACUUCUGUGCAAUUUGGGGUCGAUUCGGUUCCCAUUCCCCCCUCUUGGGGUCCCAAUCCCAAACAUUUGGGGUCGUUUCCUGGCAAUUGGGGUCCGCUGUGCCAAAUCCCAUUGAAUCCCCCCCAACUUCUGCCCCUAUUGGUGCCCCCCCUCCAAGUGCCUUCACCCACCCCAAAAAUGGGGGGGGUCCCCCGACCCCACAAUGUGCCCCCCCGACCCCACAAUCCACCCCUAAGACCCAUAACUCCCCCCCCCAGCCUUCCCCGACCCCAUAACCCCCCAGGUGCACCCCAACCCCACAAGGUGCCCCAUAACCCCCCCCCGACCCCUCAUCCUGACCCCACUAUGUGCCCCCCCCAACCCCAUAACCCACCCAUUAACCCUCCCCCAGCCCCCCCCCCCGACCCCAUAACCCCCCAAGGCGCACCCCAACCCCACAGUGUGCCCCAUAACCCCCCCCGACCAACCCCACAUCCUGACCCCAUAACCCCCCCCCAACCCCACAUCCUGACCCCACUUUGUGCCCUCCCCGACCCCACAACCCCCCAAGGCGCACCCCAACCCCACAAGGUGCCCCGUAACCCCCCCGAACAACCCCACAUCCUGACCCC